rnacentral:tRNA from 1 species
GUCUCAGUAGCUCAGUUGGAUAGAGCACGCGCCUCCUAAGCGCGGGGUCGGAGGUUCAAGUCCUCUCUGGGACG